AGUGGGAUAGCUGGGUCAAAUGGUGGUUCCAUUUAAAUUCUUCUGAGGAAUCUCCAUUCUGCUUUCCAUAUUGGUUGUACCACUUUGCAGUCCCACCAGCAAU
rnacentral:pre_miRNA from 1 species